rfam:Rattus norvegicus chromosome 8, whole genome shotgun sequence.
GGGGAUUUAGCUCAGUGGCAGAGCGCUUGCCUAGCAAGCGCAAGGCCCUGGGUUCGGUUCCCAGCUCCG